GCUUGUCUCAAAGAUUAAGCCAUGCAUGUCUAAGUAUAAGCUUUUAUACGGUGAAACUGCGAAUGGCUCAUUAAAACAGUUAUAGUUUAUUUGAUGGUCGCUCACUACAUGGAUAACCGUGGUAAUUCUAGAGCUAAUACAUGCGCAAAGACCUGACUUUUGGGAAGGGUUGUGUUUAUUAGAUACAGAACCAACCCAGGCUCCGCCUGGCCUUGAGGUGAUUCACAAUAACCGAACGAAUCGCAUAGCUGCCGCUGGCGAUAGACCAUUCAAGUUUCUGACCUAUCAGCUAUCGUCGGUAGGGUAUUGGCCUACCGUGGCAAUGACGGGUAACGGAGAAUUAGGGUUCGAUUCCGGAGAGGGAGCCUGAGAAACGGCUACCACAUCCAAGGAAGGCAGCAGG
rnacentral:rRNA from 1 species